CUCAUUUUUCCCGGGCUUUCGGUCGGCGUUUUCCUUUUGUCGCGGGUUUGGGCGCGCAUCGAACUCUGAAGGGUCGGGAAGGCCUGUCGUUGGACUCAUCACCAAUCCUAAGGAAUUCAAGUGCCUCCCAGGAUGAAUACAGGUUGUCUUGAUGGUGAUACAUUCAUCUGUCUUAAGAUCCCUGCUGAUCUGCUCAUGGUCAAACUCAUGGAAAGAGUUGAGAGUGGGGCACCUUGUUCCUGCAUCCUCAAAGGAGCAUCUUGUUCCUCCAUUUAAGCUUCCAGAGUUAAAAGGUACCUGUACCAUUUAGCGGCUUGUUCACUCAAAGAUCCAUCUUGUCUGGAGCCUGAGGAUGAUUGGAGGUGAAAGGUGUAAGCCAUACUCUGCUCAACUCCAGUCUGAAACUAAGGUUAAAAGAACACGUACUUAACACACGGGUAAGAAUCCAACUCUUGGAGGACAUCAGAAGUGGAAUUUUCUUAUACAACCUACCUAUUCAAAUUAGCAUAUAAUCUUUCUAGCCUUUCUAAAUAAAUAAAGGGAUUUUUUU
rnacentral:lncRNA from 1 species